CCCAGCUGUAGGCAACAGUGCAGGUUGCCUUGUACCUAGGCAAGUGUUACACUGCUGGGAGGAAAGUAGCCAGUAGCUGGUGGGCAUUCUGGGCCUGGUUAAUGCCAAAUUUGUGUUACCUAUACAAGUGUGCAAGCAU
rnacentral:snoRNA from 1 species